AGCGAACGCUGGCGGCAGGCUUAACACAUGCAAGUCGAACGGGCAUAGCAAUAUGUCAGUGGCAGACGGGUGAGUAACGCGUGGGAACGUACCUUUUGGUUCGGAACAACACAGGGAAACUUGUGCUAAUACCGGAUAAGCCCUUACGGGGAAAGAUUUAUCGCCGAAAGAUCGGCCCGCGUCUGAUUAGCUAGUUGGUAGGGUAAUGGCCUACCAAGGCGACGAUCAGUAGCUGGUCUGAGAGGAUGAUCAGCCACAUUGGGACUGAGACACGGCCCAAACUCCUACGGGAGGCAGCAGUGGGGAAUAUUGGACAGUGGGCGAAAGCCUGAUCCAGCCAUGCCGCGUGAGUGAUGAAGGCCCUAGGGUUGUAAAGCUCUUUUGUGCGGGAAGAUAAUGACGGUACCGAAAGAAUAAGCCCCGGCUAACUUCGUG
rnacentral:rRNA from 1 species